AUGCCGCCUUGUUCAAGAAAGGCGGACACAUCUAGGCGGCUAUCUCUUCACGCCGGCGGCGCCGCCCUUCGCGUGACUCGUGCGCAGCCUUCUCCACGCCGGCGCUCUCCGCUCGUUUGUUCUGCCCAAGGAGCAUCUCCAGUUGAAAUUGCAAGUGGACCAAAUAGAAGCAGUGGUGUUGAUCAGGAUGGAAGUACAAGUGGCACUACUUCUGCCAUAGUAGAGAAGGCUGCAACAAAGAAAAAUCUCAAGGCCAAAGCCGGGGGAAAGAAGAAAACCUCAAAAGUUUGGACGCACUUCACUGAGAUUAUAACAGAGGAAAAGGUGGGUGACAAGGUUGUCAAGAAUGUUACUGCUGAGUGCAAGAUCUGUAAAAAGGUUCUUGAAGCUGGUAGAAGGCAUACAGGAGCAAAUCUGAGUAGUGCAUACAUGGGGGAAAUGGCUGGAUGGAAUAUUGAGAAUAAGUUGUUUGCUUUGACCUUGGACAAUGCUGCUUCAAAUGAUGUUUGUGUUGACACCAUCAUCUCUACCCUUAAAAAUCAUGAUUCUCUAUUAUGUCAAGGCAAGUUCUUUCAUGUGCGCUGUGCUGCUCAUAUAAUUAACCUCGUUGCCAGGGAUGGUGUGAGCACGAUUGCAUCUAUUAUAGAUAAUGUUCGUGCAUCAGUUCUUAUUGUCAAGAGCUCACCUCAACAACUAGAGAUAUUUAUGAAGCAUGCUACCGAUAUGGGAUUAUGCACAAAAAAGGGUCUUUCUCAGGAUGUGUCUACUAGAUGGAACUCAACCUACUUAAUGCUAGUAGCUGCCAUGCACUAUAAACAGGUUUUCCAAAGGCUUGCUAUUUUGCAACCAGCUAAGUAUCGCAAAUGUGCUCCUAGUAAAGAUGAUUGGGAUAAGGCAAGUGUGGUAAGCUCGUGCUUGAAGAUAUUUUAUAAUGUUACUAAGCUUCUGUCUGGAUCUUACUACCCGACUGCUAACCUGUUCUUUGUUGAAUUCUCUGAGAUUAACAUUCAGCUCAUUGAGUGGAUGAAUGCCAAGAGCAAGAAUAAUACCUUCAUUGCUGCCAUGGCAAAAGCUAUGAAGGAAAAAUUUGACAAGUACUGGGAGAUGAGUAAUGUUGCUCUAGCAGUUGCAUGCAUGUUAGAUCCUCGCUACAAGAUGAAAGUGGUUGAGUUUUACUACAAAGAAAUGUCAGACAACUCUGGGGUUGAAGAGAUAGUUGCAUUUAGAGAAGUUGUUCAAGAGUUAUAUGAUUCCGCACCCUUGGUAAGGUGGCCUGAAGGUGAAUAUUUUGAUAUUCUAUCUUGGUGGAAGACCCAUGGUUCACAGUAUCCUAUCCUUGCUAUGGUUGCAAGAGAUGUUUUGGCUAUUCCUGUGUCCACAGUUGCAUCUGAAUUUGCUUUUAGCGGAGCAGGACGAGUGGUUGACAAGUAUCGUAGUCGUUUGGACCCUGAAGUUGUUGAGGCUUUGAUCUGUACCAAAGACUGGAUAAGAGCCUCCAGAAAAGAGAAUAAAUGUGAUGUAGCUUCAAUAAUAGAAGAUUUAGCUAUCAUUGAUAUUUCUAGAGAAGGCGAGCAAGUCGAGAACAAUGAAGAUGAUGGUGCUUCUAUCCCUACGGAUGAUCACAACGCCUUGGAGAUAGUUUGA
rnacentral:rRNA from 1 species